rnacentral:tRNA from 1 species
GAGAAUAUAGCUCAAGUGGUAGAGCAAAUGCUUAGCAUUCACCAGGUCCUGGGUUCAAUCCCCUGUACUUCCU